ACAAGCUAGGUGGGGAGUUAGCGGUGCCCUGUACUUGCAAUCCGCUUUAGCAAGGCUGAAUACCAAGAUUCGGGUAUUUUUUGUGAUGACGAGUAUAACACGUAGUGUUGAUACCGAGGCAUCUUAUGACGUAAAAAAUUAUGAACCAUGUCAGGUCAGGAAUGAAGCAGCAUUAAGUAAUAUUUUCCGGGUAUAAGUUAUUUGUCAAAGUUGAGCUGUCGAUUAGACUAACGGUCAUAAAAAUUUAUUCAACUCUUGGUUGCAUGU
rnacentral:SRP_RNA from 1 species